AUACUCUGGUUUCUCUUCAUAAGGUAUGAAUCUUUUCACCUUUUGCUAAAAAUUCCAUGAAGAGGAACAAUUCUGAAACUUAACCCAAUUUUUUGAAGCCUCUCGUUUGCAGGAGAUU
rfam:Tupaia chinensis contig111474, whole genome shotgun sequence.